AGCAACUUUACGGACAUUUACUUUUUCCUGUGGAAUUCUUGUCAUCUGUUAAACUUUCAACUUUUUCUUGCAAGUAACUAUGUAUGAAUGUGGAGGCUUACGUAUCCUGUAAAAUUGCAUGACUUCGCCUUUCAUGUAAAUAGGAGUGGGACAAGGAAAGGCGACAGACUUAAUUAAUAAGGCUUGUCUUGCUCUCUGCAUUGACAUGCUUUGUGUUCUUGUGUGUGGAGGGUCACUCACCGACCGUAUUGGUUUUUGUAGACAUCUGAUGGGAUGACUGUCAGUUCCAAAGGCACCGUAGCGAUCGCAAUCUACUAAGAGGAGGACGUCGGGCUCCUUAGGCCACAGUAGCAGCAGCAGCAGCAGCAGCAGCACAGCAUCGAACGGCGUUCCUCUCCUUCAGCACCCACGAUGUUGCUCUUCUCAGUCAUACCCGCUUUGCCUGCUGACAAGCGGAGUCGCCUGCACCUCCUGCUGCUGUUCCUACUGGUGGUGGCAGCGUGCCUGUACUUCAGCUACCUAGUGUACCUGCUGGUGGAGGACCAAUGGACGAUGACGGCGCUCUUCUUCGCCAUUGGCUUCGCCGUAUUCAUGUCGCUGGGGAUGUGCGUCAUCAAUGUCGCGCAGCAGGUCAAGUUCGACGACGAAGAAGACGGCGAGAGGACCUGGCUCAUUCAGCCGCCUCAGCCUUGAGCUCGAUUUCCCACAAAAUUGGUUCUUGCUGUUGUGUGACCGUCUGGCUCUUGCUGUUCAUUGUGUGACCGUCAUAUUUUUUUUUUCUUUUAAACGUGGGUGCUUCUUUGUACGAGGAUGUGGGACAAGAUUGUUUGUAUUGUUUCUUGUCUUGUUUGUUCUGCUGCAAUCACAGAGAUGUACCUCCCGAGUCGUGUAUAUUUGCCUUUUGAAAUUUCCGAAAUACUAACAGUAAUACGCAAGUCAUUUUCAAGUACCGUAAUUUAAAUAGAGUAUUAAAGUUUUUUACAGGUAAUUGAAUGCAUUUUGAAACGGUAAAUUGUACUACUGGGUAUGAUUGUCAACGUAGAAAAUGCAAUAUUGAUGAGUACUACGGUGUUACGCUCUUUUGAUCAACCUUCUGGGAGUUUCAACUUUUCGAAAUUAUUUUAAACUGUAUGAACGGUUAUUUAUCCUAAUUUUGCAUCGGUAUUUUAAAAGGUGAUUGUUAUCAUUUUUAUAAACUAUGUAUUAUAUCUAUGAAUUGUUAUACCAAUUUAAAAUAUAUAUAUAUAUAAACAGAA